GAUCUCCUUGGGCAUUCUAGACUCCGUCAACUGCAAAGAAAGAAGAAAUAUUUUAUUCAGGGAAGUUCAAUGGUAACAUGAGAGAGAAGAAUAACCAACAACUAGAAAAGACACUGUGAGAGCAAAAUGGACUUAAUCAAAGGUACUACAGCAUACAUGAGAGCCUUUUGCAAUUUUAGGACAAAUGAAAUUUAGAAAAGAGGCACCCGCAGACUGCAUCAGAGGCUUUCCCAAAACUGAAGUCCAGGAAUGAAGUUCAUUCCAAGUACUACCUAAAUCUCUCUUCUCCCCACCAUGAAAUCUUGCACAGUUGAUUCGAAGAUGCAUGUCAGGUGGUAUUCUUUCCCUGGUGAUGCAAUUCAUAGACUGCCUGUUCUCUCCCCCCACCCCACAAUAAAUGUAACCACAGGAUUUGGUGCCAUGUAAUGCCUAUAGUGCUCCCUUCCCUCAUGCAUAAAUUUUUCCUUGCUGAAUUCAAAUGGAUCAAUAAUCAAUCAGUUACAAAGUCAGAACUUUCAUUAUGCUACACAUGACAUUCUACAAAUGAAAACAAUAGCAAUAAACUUUUUUUUUUCUGCUCAAACCUGGAAAUUGUUCAUCAGCCCAUAUUGACAAGGUUCAUGUCGACAUCUUGAGAAGUCGUAGCCCAACCCACAGGCUGCUGAACCAUUGCAGUUCAUCCCAGAAAUGAUGGUGUCAUUCAUGCUUCCGGUAGCAUCUCGGACCACACAGGCCCCUGGGGAAACAAUCAUGGCUCAUCAAUUCUUUAUAAGGGUGCUGCUCCCAUGGGGUUCUCUACUGAAAACACAGUUUACUGUGAGUCUGAGCAGGUCCACUGCCAUCCAUCCUCUCUUGUCAUCCUGGGGACAUAGUAGGAGGAGGUUCCCAUCCUCAGGGGCUUGAGAGCGCCCCCUGUCUCUGACAGUCUGCCACUGCUACUGCUCUGGGUGGUUUUGGUCCAAGCUCUCACCUACCUUUGUAGGACACUUGGGGAUUGGAUCUCUCUUACUUUCUGAAAUGCACAUGGCAGUGCUUUGCGCAUGAUAUUCAAUUCAUAUUUCUGGCCUGAAGCUACUGAGUAGGUGUUUUUUCAGGCAGAAGGAUUUAUUUCCUCAUCUGUGAGAUACCUAAGGGAUAGCAUUAUUGAAUUCUGGUAAUUAAGAGAAUGGAGCCCUUGUUUUCAACUGAUGAUAGUCCUUGCACAAUUUCUUAAACAGUUGCAAUUCUACUUUAUAGAGAAUGUUAAUUGUUUAAAUAAUGAAGAAAAUGGAGAUAAAAUAUUGAGAUUUCCUGGUAAUAUUAAUGGUCAAAUAAUAUUCUAUC